AUAAUGAAAAAAUAUGUCAAGGACAUGAUUUCUUAAAGAAAAUCUAAUUUAUGGCGCUUAGGCCUUUAAACCGCUCUUGUGAUGUUCUUGUGAACACAACCAUAAGAAUAACAAGAAGUCAGAUCAUAUACUCCCAUUAGGAGAACCCCAGAUUUAUGAGCUUUAGACAUUUACAACUGUAAUGUAGAUAGCUAUUUCCACUUAAAUAGUACAGCCCUUUUUGACUGAUAGAAGGUUUUUGUAUUGAUUUUUCUGGGGAGGGGAAGGGGUUGGAGUGGAGGGCUGAAGAACACGGGGACUAUCUGUAAGGCUAAUAUUGAUUUAAUGUCCAAAUCCAAAUACCACGUUUGUCCUCUCGAAACCUAAUUAAUUGACAUAUGUGCUAUUUGAAUAUAUUUAGAUUAAAAACUGUUGGCCAAUGACUUUUCAAACCUCCUUAGCUUUCUUUUGUUAUAGGAAUGGAAAUAAUCCAGUUGCAUUAUCUUUUUGCUAAUACUCUGUGUGUUUUGAACUCGCUAUAUUGUGUCCUGUCACUAUUCUCUUUUUUUCUGUUGCGUCAUUGGUGUGUCAGCCCCAAAUUAUCUCAGAAAAAUAACAUUUAUGUUCAACUCCAAGCCUACUCAAAAAUCUUACAAUGCUUUAAAAAAAAUGUUCUGUUGGAUAAGAUCUAGAGUCCUUGGCAUCUUUCCCACCUGUUUCCCAGUUAUAUUUCCCACUUUCCACUGUACUAACCUCUUCACGUCAGGGAGAUGACUUUAUGCAAGGUACUGAAAACAUCUCAUGCAAGGCUUCAUCUCACUCUGUUUUGUAGGGGUGAUAAAACCUUUUAUUUUCUUUUCUGGAAUACCUAAGCCAUCCUGCCACAAAGAACAGGAAGACAAAUGAUUAGAAUAGCGACAAUGAGUGUGUGCGUUGUAUGCAGACCCACGUGUGUUGAGAGAGAGAAAGUAGAUAGAGCAAAAUGUGAAUCUCGAUGAAGGAUAUAAUGAGGAGCUAUUUCUUACACUACUCUUGCAACUUAUUGUAGAUUUGGAUUAUUCAAAACAAAAAGUUGAAAGAAAAGAAGCAUUUGUGACCAGAUUAGUCACUCACAAGUGGGGUUGGCCAGUUUGGGGAUAUAUACCAAAUACAUUUAAUUGCUGAUAAUACUCAUAGGUUCCUUACACUCUCUGGAGAAAGAUACUACAUUUUGUCCUAGUCUUUUCUUUCCCCAGUUCUUUGAUGGCUGCUUCCUGAGGGCAAACAUAUUGGUUGAUAAGAAGUUAGACUAUAUUGCUAUACUAAUUUUCAGAGUGAAGUUCUGACUUUUUUCCUCCCUUGUUUUUAGAGAUCAUAUACAAGAGACUGUAUAUGGUGAACAUAUGCAAUCUCUGUGCUCAGGAGCUUACAGUAUUGGAGAAGAGAAAGGAAAAAGCCAGUGUUAGCAAAACAGAGAGAAAGGUGUGACUGUUUUAGUAUAUUCCAUGCUUGUGUUUUUCUGUGUUAUUCGCAAUUUUGACUCUGCCUGGAUUUGAUACCACAUCUUUACUGCAAUUCAUUUAUAGUUUAUUGCCAACUGAUUGCCACCCUGACUGUAAUGAAUAGUAUCCUUUGUUUCACUGCACAUCGUUCCAAAUUGCCGUUCAAAACAGUUAUUUUUAAUAACUGGAAACAGGCUGCAAUAUUUCUCAUCCAAGUAUCUUUUUCUUCUUAAAAUAUUUAUCCAGAACACUGCAAUAAUCUUCCCUUUCUGACAUUCAUUAAUGAUUUUCUAAUAAUAUACUUCAUUAUAAGUGAAAUUUAUAUUAAUUAUGAUUAGCCAUUUGGGGGUAUAGGUAUUUUAAUUUGCUGAAUUGACUGUACAAUGGAAAUUAAAGCUUAGAAAUAUAAGUAGUUUGAUCACUGCAACAAAGUUUCUUAAGNNNNNNNNNNNNNNNNNNNNNNNNNNNNNNNNNNNNNNNNNNNNNNNNNNNNNNNNNNNNNNNNNNNNNNNNNNNNNNNNNNNNNNNNNNNNNNNNNNNUGUUACUGUCCUUAUUCUUCUCUAGUACAAUAUAGUAGCCACACAAAUUGACAGUGUUAAACUGUCCAGGUAGAAAUCCUGGCUCUAGAUACUCAGUAGCUGUGUGAUCUUGAGCAAGUUGCUACUCUGGGUUUCAGUUUCCUCAUUUGGAGAAUGAAGAUAGCAUUCUUAUCUAAUUCUUACCUGUGUCCUGGGGUUGCUGUGAGUAAUAAAUGAGGUGUAGGUGUGUGUGUGCACACGCAUGAUUAAUUGCUCAGUUCUGCCCUCCUCAUUGUGACCCUUUGGACUGUAGCCUACCAGGCUCUUCUGUACAUGGGAUUUUUCAGGCAAGAAAUGUGGAGUCUGUUACCAUUUCCUUCUCCAGGGGAUCACCCCAACCCAGGGAUCAAACCCAUGUCCCCUGCAUCUCCUGUGCUGCAGGCAGAUGCUUUGCCCAGUGAGCCAUCAGGGCAGUCUAAUAAAUGAGACAGUAUAUUAAAACCAAUUCUUGGUACUUAAUAAAUGUUCACUGUCAUAAUAAUAUGUGCAUUUACUAU
rnacentral:lncRNA from 1 species